rnacentral:rRNA from 1 species
GCGUAUAAUGCAAGUCGAACGCUUCUUUCCUCCCGAGUGCUUGCACUCAAUUGGAAAGAGGAGUGGCGGACGGGUGAGUAACACGUGGGUAACCUACCCAUCAGAGGGGGAUAACACUUGGAAACAGGUGCUAAUACCGCAUAACAGUUUAUGCCGCAUGGCAUAAGAGUGAAAGGCGCUUUCGGGUGUCGCUGAUGGAUGGACCCGCGGUGCAUUAGCUAGUUGGUGAGGUAACGGCUCACCAAGGCCACGAUGCAUAGCCGACCUGAGAGGGUGAUCGGCCACACUGGGACUGAGACACGGCCCAGACUCCUACGGGAGGCAGCAGUAGGGAAUCUUCGGCAAUGGACGAAAGUCUGACCGAGCAACGCCGCGUGAGUGAAGAAGGUUUUCGGAUCGUAAAACUCUGUUGUUAGAGAAGAACAAGGACGUUAGUAACUGAACGUCCCCUGACGGUAUCUAACCAGAAAGCCACGGCUAACUACGUGCCAGCAGCCGCGGUAAUACGUAGGUGGCAAGCGUUGUCCGGAUUUAUUGGGCGUAAAGCGAGCGCAGGCGGUUUCUUAAGUCUGAUGUGAAAGCCCCCGGCUCAACCGGGGAGGGUCAUUGGAAACUGGGAGACUUGAGUGCAGAAGAGGAGAGUGGAAUUCCAUGUGUAGCGGUGAAAUGCGUAGAUAUAUGGAGGAACACCAGUGGCGAAGGCGGCUCUCUGGUCUGUAACUGACGCUGAGGCUCGAAAGCGUGGGGAGCAAACAGGAUUAGAUACCCUGGUAGUCCACGCCGUAAACGAUGAGUGCUAAGUGUUGGAGGGUUUCCGCCCUUCAGUGCUGCAGCAAACGCAUUAAGCACUCCGCCUGGGGAGUACGACCGCAAGGUUGAACUCAAAGGAAUUGACGGGGGCCCGCACAAGCGGUGGAGCAUG